CUUUCACGGCGACACUUUGCCUCAGUCGGUCCAGUGUCAGGAUGCUCUCGACAGCUGACACUCCUCUCGUGUACUUUUCUGGAACAUGAAGAAAAAACGUUAUCAGUCGUGCUGUGGUUGCAAUAACAUAAUCUCAUCGUAAAGACGGUUUGGCUGGCAUCAUUUUACACGUUCACUGAUGUUUAUCCCUGAAAAACUUAACAAUUUUAUUACAACAAUAUGAACUGGAGAAAGGCAACCGACCUCCCGUUACCGUUGGCACGUACAAUGUCUCUAUGCGUUAAAUAAAUUGGAGAGAAGGAAUUAAAGAAGUAACGGUCCUAGGUACUAUUAAAACUGGUCGCGAUGGAGCUCAAUUCGAACAAUUGAACAAUUGAUGACGAAGACAGCUAUUUCUCGACGAAAAGUAAGAGAUUCUUACCUAUAUAAGUUUCGCCAUCGCAGAGACUGUUAUCUUCUCCACUGGCAGCAAUUUGCGCUAGACUUUCUCGAUCUUCCAAUUCUUCACUGGCUUUCGGUAUAUUGGACACAACUUCAGUUCAAGCCUGUCACUGAAACUUCCUCUCCGGACUGAUGCGUCGAAAGGUCGUCAGCUAUUCAAAUAUUAACAGAAGAAAAAAAAAAAGGAAUUCCUCGGUAAUGGGUACGGUGAAAUCUUUUGUGUGAUCAAAUUUGAAAGCCAAUGAGUCUCUUUGGCCCGUGACGGAAUCAGUAGUCGGUAAGUCCGUGUUGACCAUGGGU